rnacentral:rRNA from 1 species
UACGAAGGGGGCUAGCGUUGCUCGGAAUCACUGGGCUUAAAGGGUGCGUAGGCGGGUCUUUAAGUCAGGGGUGAAAUCCUGGAGCUCAACUCCAGAACUGCCUUUGAUACUGAGGAUCUUGAGUUCGGGAGAGGUGAGUGGAACUGCGAGUGUAGAGGUGAAAUUCGUAGAUAUUCGCAAGAACACCAGUGGCGAAGGCGGCUCACUGGCCCGAUACUGACGCUGAGGCACGAAAGCGUGGGGAACAAACAGG